GGCAAGAUGGCCGAGUUGGUUAUGGCGCCAGGUUAAGGAACUUAUCCUUAGCAUGUAUAUCCUGGUAGGGAAACCUGCGUGGGUUCAAGUCCCACUCUUGUCA